rnacentral:rRNA from 1 species
GACGAACGCUGGCGGCGUGCUUAACACAUGCAAGUCGAGCGGUAAGGCCCUUUCGGGGGUACACGAGCGGCGAACGGGUGAGUAACACGUGGGUGACCUGCCCUCAGCUCUGGGAUAAGCCUGGGAAACUGGGUCUAAUACUGGAUAUGACUCCACGGUGCAUGUCGUGGGGUGGAAAGCCUUGUGCGGCUGAGGAUGGGCCCGCGGCCUAUCAGCUUGUUGGGGGGUGAUGGCCUACCAAGGCGACGACGGGUAGCCGGCCUGAGAGGGCGACCGGCCACACUGGGACUGAGACACGGCCCAGACUCCUACGGGAGGCAGCAGUGGGGAAUCUUGCGCAAUGGGCGAAAGCCUGACGCAGCGACGCCGCGUGAGGAUGAC